UGAGGAAUAUUGGGCAAUGCCCGCAAGGGUGACCCAGCAACGCCGCGUGGAGGAUGAAUGUCGUAAGAUUAUAAACUCCUGUUAGAGGGGAAGAAUAGUACCGGUUGGACCGGUAUAUGACUGUACCCUCAGAGAAAGCCCCGGCUAACUACGUGCCAGCAGCCGCGGUAAUACGUAGGGGGCAAGCGUUGUCCGGAUUUACUGGGUGUAAAGGGCGCGCAGGCGGGAUAAAAAGUCAGUGGCGAAAUCCUACAGCUUAACUGUAGAACUGCCUUUGAUACUUUUAUUCUUGAGUUCGGGAGAGAGAGACGGAAUUCCAGGUGUAGUGGUGAAAUACGUAGAUAUCUGGAAGAACACCAGUUGCGAAGGCGGUCUCUUGGUCCGACACUGACGCUGAGGCGCGAAAGCGUGGGGAGCAAACA
rnacentral:rRNA from 1 species